rnacentral:rRNA from 1 species
CGUGAACUGCGAAUGGCUCAUUAAAUCAGUUAUCGUUUAUUUGAUAGUACCUUACUACUUGGAUAACCGUGGUAAUUCUAGAGCUAAUACAUGCUAAAAACCCCAACUUCGGGAGGGGUGUAUUUAUUAGAUAAAAAACCAAUGCCCUUCGGGGCUCCUUGGUGAUUCAUGAUAACUUCUCAGAUCGCAUAGCCUUGAGCUGGCGACGGUUCAUUCAAAUUUCUGCCCUAUCAACUUUCGAUGGUAAGGUAGUGGCUUACCAUGGUUGCAACGGGUAACGGGGAAUUAGGGUUCGAUUCCGGAGAGGGAGCCUGAGAAACGGCUACCACAUCCAAGGAAGGCAGCAGGCGCGCAAAUUACCCAAUUCCGAUACGGAGAGGUAGUGACAAUAAAUACUGAUACAGGGCUCUUUUGGGUCUUGUAAUUGGAAUGAGUACAAUUUAAACCUCUUAACGAGGAACAAUUGGAGGGCAAGUCUGGUGCCAGCAGCCGCGGUAAUUCCAGCUCCAAUAGCGUAUAUUAAAGUUGUUGCAGUUAAAAAGCUCGUAGUUGAACCUUUGGCCUGGCUGGCAGGUCCGCCUCACCGCGUGCACUUGUCCGGCCGGGCCUUUUCUUCUGGAGAACCGCAUGCCCUUCACUGGGUGUGUUGGGGACCAGGACUUUUACUUUGAAAAAAUUAGAGUGUUCAAAGCAGGCCUUUGCUCGAAUACGUUAGCAUGGAAUAAUAGAAUAGGACGUGCGGUCCUAUUUUGUUGGUUUCUAGGACCGCCGUAAUGAUUAAUAGGGACAGUUGGGGGCAUCAGUAUUCAAUUGUCAGAGGUGAAAUUCUUGGAUUUAUUGAAGACUAACUACUGCGAAAGCAUUUGCCAAAGAUGUUUUCAUUAAUCAGUGAACGAAAGUUAGGGGAUCGAAGACGAUCAGAUACCGUCGUAGUCUUAACCAUAAACUAUGCCGACUAGGGAUCGGGCGGUGUUUCUAAUGUGACCCGCUCGGCACCUUACGAGAAAUCAA